AGUUUUAUAGAAACUCUGUAUGUUUAUAGCCUUAGAUAUACAAAAAAGAAGCCUUAAAUCUCUCUCUAAAACUCAUCAUCUUCCUCAUUUAUGUUCUUCAAAGAAAACCUCCUCAAAUCCCUCUAAAAACACCACCAUCAUGUUCCUGGUAUCCUAAAUAGUCAAUUCUGGAAAUUUUCGUGAAGUUCUGGGCUCAUUUGAAUCAUUUCUUCUUCAUUAUGUUCAUCGUGUUCUUGAAAUUUCCAGAUUCCGGCGAGAAAUCCAACAUUGAAACGUGUUUUUCUCCCUUGUCUGAGCUCCAAUACCUACGCUUUCACCACCUCUGUUCUUAUAGAAGGGAGGAGAAUCCAUUCCCACCACUGGUUCACCUCCGGCGACCAUCGCUGCCGUGAGCUCCGCCGCAUCUUCAUCUUCUCCGGCGAGCUCUAUUUUGGAAUUUCCUGAACUUGUGUUUUUAGUGGAAGCAACAUGAAUAGGUCAAGGCGGACAAGUAACAAGGAAUACAAGUAAAGGGGGGAGAUGCCAACAACUCAGGAUGGAGGAUAGUAUGAAUAAAUGGGUGUUGGACCCUCCUUAGGUCCUUGUGUGUGUUGUUUGAUUUUAAUGUUUGUCUGAGUUACAACUCUUAUACUUUAUCUAUGAUAGCUGUGAUGGUGUGUGAUUUAUGAGAUGUAGUAGAAGAAGGAAGCGUGGAUAUGUAGAAAAUUCACACCAAAGAUAACCUAGCAGAUGUAAUGACGAAGCCAAUCAACUCUGACAAGUUUGCUUGGUGUUGGUCCUCUCAUGGUCUAUAAAAAUGUAAGCAACAUGAAACUAGUAAGGUAGAGAAAUUUUGCAAACGCACUAAAGUGACUUAAAGUGGGAGAUUGUUAACGAAAGUUGCUAUUAAUUACCACUGCCACAAGAUAACAAUCAUGAAGCAAAGUUGCGAUUGUUGACAAAUUGAUAAAGAUUGACGAGCAAGUAGAUGACAUCAUGCAAAUCAACAAAGACUUAAAGAAUGAUAAAACCACUUUUAUGGCUCUUCAAGAUGUUGAAGGGGGAAGUCUAAAAGCCUAUAAAUAGAGCACACCAUCUUAGUUUCAGAAACAUCCCAACAUCAAGCAAUUCUAAUGAGAAUUGUAAUAGAGAGAAAAGUUGAGAGAAAGAAAUUUAUAUUCUCCUGUGAGGUUCUCCUAGAGAGUGUUCUUCUAUUUUAAGAGAGGGUAUGAUUUGUUCUCUCCUUGUAUUUAGAGAGAAGUGUUGUAAUUUCUUUCACUUAGUGAAACCUUUUCUACCGGUGCCUGUAGUUUUUCCGUUAUCUAUUGAGGGUUUUCCACGUAAAUAUUGUGUGUCAAUUUCCUUCUCCCUCAUCUCUUAUUUUAGUUUUGUGUUAUUAUUCUGCUACUCUGGUACCCAACACUUGUUGAUAUUAUUAGUAGGGACUUUAUUCGAGUUGGAGUCUCUUUGAGGGUAUAACCUCAUUUUCUUUUUGUUUAGCUAUUGUACCAAUAAUAUAUAUAUAUAUAUAUUAAAAUUUAUUUUUCUAGAUGAGAUCUUUGAUUUUGAACUCGACUAUUUUUCUCUUCGCUCAAGCUUGGAGCACGACACGCACUUCAAAUUCAUAUUUUCAUGCUAUUGCCCAGAACUGUAAUAUGUUUUUUUUUGUCAAUGGUUAAUGUUGUCAUUAAACCAACAAGGUGGAAAUGGAGCUUUGUGGCUCCGAACUGUACAAGCAGUGAUAGCCCAAGGCUAGGAACACAAACACAGAUCAACAAACAGCCAAGCUAUUAGAAAAGAGACAUUAAAGAGCAAGCUUGCUAGUUGAAACACUUAAAGCUCUAAAGUCCCACAAGGACAUGCUUUGAACAGAGAAAGACUACUGGUGGUACCUAACAAGCCAAAAACGCAGCUAGCAUUAAACUCAAAUAUCUACCAAGGCUCUUAUCCAAUUCUGUUAACAAGGUGGUUGGAUAAUGGCACAAAAAAAAAACCAUACCACACACAUUAGAAACCACAUAAGAAGAUGGGCCACUAAACGCUAAGCUAAACUGAAGUCAGAAAGAGCUUCAACACUCCCCAGGUCUGGAAGGUGGACGAAGUCACGAACCAGGGGUUGAAGGUGGGGAUAGAUCCAUCGGGGACCCGCACGGGAGAGAUCUAUGUCCUUGCUUAGAGCAAACUGAAUAGCUUGUGGGGGGUUCCAUACCCAGGAGUUGUGGAUUAUGUUAUCCUUACUCAACUUUGCCACUAGAUGUGCCACAACAUUCCCUUCACGAGGAGUCCAUAAGAAGCCAGAAGUCUAGAAGACUUGUCUCAUGACUUUUAUGUCUUCUACAAUGUUUCUAAUCUCACAUUGUUCUUUAAUUCCUCUACAAGGGCAUGAACCAGCUGGAGCGAAUCCGAUUCAAACAGGACUUUAGUGCACCCCAUGCUCUGAGCAAAAGCUACAACAUUGCGCAUGAUUACUGCUUCUGCCAUCAAGGGGGAUUUUGCAUAGAAAUUCCUGGUGUAACACCCCAUUUUCCGAUUAGUAGAAUAUUUAUUAAUUUAUUUUAAUUAUUAUUAGGUUAUAUAGUGAUUUGAAUAAAUAGGUGAUUUUACUAUAUAAUAAGGUGAUUAUGAGAUUUUAUUAUAUAAUAAGGCGAUUAAGUGAAGUUAUUAGAUAAUUAAGUGAGUAGUUGGGAGUGAGGUCCAUUUUAAGACUAUUUUAGGGUUAGGAGUGAAAUAGAAAGAGUGAAAUCAGAAUUUGAGAAUUGGAGGAGUUAGCAGAGCAGAAGAAAAGAAGCAUGAAAGAGAGAAGGGGAGAAAAGAGAAGAAAACCUAGAAUUUGAUCUUCAAAAGGUAAGGGUUUGAAUUCAUGUUCUUUGGAUUGGUAUGAUAGUGGAUAAUGAUAGAAAGCCUGAUUUAGGAACCCUAGGAUGCAAUUUUUUCUAAACUGAAGGUGGAUAGUUGAAUAUAGGGUUAUGAAUUGUGGGUGGAAGAGAGGGGGUAGCGCGUCGCGCAUGAGGCUGCAGAAAUUUACGAGCUCUAGAACCCUAUUUUGAGCUGUGUUAAUGACCGAAUUUGAAACAGUAGUCUUCAUAAAAGUUGUAGCCCUUUCUGUUAUAAAACUUUUGCCGCUGUUUUCACGUCAUUCCGACGUCGAUAGCUCGAGUUAUAUGCGUAUUAGUGAGGAUAGGCUAAGUUGUCUCGUUUCUCACGAACUGCUGUUAGUGUUAGAUUUUUCAUGAAUUUUGUACUUUGAAUUUCGACUUGAAAAUUUAAAGAGAUUUAGAAAACGUGUAUAGGAAAUCAUGUUUAAAAUAUUGGAUUUUUUCAGAGUGUAUUUGAGGUAUUUAAAAUUUCGCCUAGUUUGCUGUACAAUUUAUAACCGUUUUGAAUAAAAUUAGUCAUUUUAGGUGCAAAUGUUGUUUUCGAAAAAAGAUGUGGUGCGCGCGCAUGGUGAUACGCAAGGCGCAGUGGCGCGCGGCCAUGGCGAGGGUUGCGCGCGAUGGAGGUGGCGCAUGUCGGUAGUGGUGCGCGCGGUAGCGCGCGCAUGAGAAGGAUGGUGCAAGGAGAUGACAAGUUUUUGGGGAAAAUUAGGAAGAAUCCAAUUUUUUUAUAAUAGUUGCAGAACCUGUUAUAUAUGAAUUAUAUUUAAUUUACAUAUGUUUAAUAGUUCAUUAUAUGAUGUUAUUUCUGAAUUGAUGUUAUGUGUUAAGUUGUUAAGUUACUGUGAUUGCAAGUUGUGUGAUUGAUAACAUGUAAGUGUGUGUUUUGUGAAAUUGGAGAUGAUUUGAAUUGUUGAGAUGGUGAUGAAUAUGCUAAAAUAAUUAAGACUUGGAGAUGGUCUUAAUAUGCAUAUGCUAGUUGAGUUUUGCACAAUACACUGCAUAGUUGUCAAGAGGCAAUGUUUGCUAGUUCUCGUGGAGGCUAGUGACUUGUCCCAAAACUGGAGCGGUUUUGAAAGCCUAGAGCGAGGGCUUGAUUGGUGGUUAUCUGUCUGGAGUGGACGCAGUGAUACCGCUAAGGAUAACAACUUUGGUACCAAAGACAUUUACACGGGUCUCACUUGAGUCAUAUGUGUUAGGGAGUUGUUGGUGAUAAUUAAUGAUAAUUGUGAUAUUUUUUUGGGAUUUGAUGUUGUGGUAAUUGGAUACAAUAAUAUUUGCUUACUUGAUGCUAUGAAUUAUUGAGUAUUGUCAUAACUGUGAGAUUGAUUGAUUAUAUUAAAUUACCUAAUUUAUUACUCCCUCCGUUCCUAAAUAUAAGACCUAUUCCAAAAAAUUGCGCUUAUUAAGAAAACACUUAAUGUGACUAAUUAGUGUAUUGGUUUUUUAAAAAUGCAUACAUUCUUCCCUAUUUACCCUUUGUCAUUUUCUCUCACUAAUAAUCAUUGCAUUCAUAGUUAGUUGGAAUAGUAGUAAUUAAUGGUAGGUGGUAACUUUGGAAUUGAAAACAUACAAUUAAUGUGAGGGGUGAAUAUGAAAGAGUACAAAACCUUUUACUAGAUUUUUGUAAGAGGUCUUAUAUUUAGGAACAUGAAAAUUUUGAAACUAGGUCUUAUAAUUAGGAACGGAGGGAGUAUUUGUUAGUGGAGUGUGAAGAAUUUAUGUGGAACAUAGAUAAACUUUUACAUUAUUUAUUAUUAUGCUUAUCCACAUGAUAUGUGUUCUCACCCUUCUGUUGGAAUGAUGUUCUAUGCGACAUCGCUCAGGUACUGGGGAUAGUGGAGUUUCUCGCGAGGGUUAGUUGAAGGAGCUAAUCUUUCAUUUAUGGUUUAGUUAGGGGAGUCAUGCUCUGUUAUGUAACACGGGGAAACGUUUAGUAUUGUACCUGAAUGUUAUGAGAUAAUUUAUGAACUCUCUUUAUUUAUUUUUGGAUUAUGUUAAAUUUUGGAGUUGAAAUAAAUCCGUUGUGCUAUGCAUAUGAUGUUGAGACAUUAAAGUUGGAAAAUUUAUAUAUUUAUUAUGAGCAUGACAGGUGUUUUGAGUUAUGUUUCUGGAGAAUAAAUGUGACACCCUCUAUGUUAUGCAUUUUACUCUGAUUUAAGCUAUAAUAUUUAUACGGGGUUUAGAGGGUGUUACACCUAGUGUGGCCCGUCAACAGGUAACCAUCAUGAUCCCUGAGAAUAAUACUUCCUACUGCUUGUUCAUUGGGUUCUUGAAAGUAGCAUCCAAAUUACACUUGAUAAAACCCUCUGGUGGUCUCUUCCAAUGGGUACUUUGUCCUCUUGUUGUCUUUGGAUGAGGCACGCGGUGGCUAGUGGCUGCUGCUACUUGCUGAUAUUCUUGUUGCGCAAUGUGAGCUGCAAUGAUGACUUGCAUAGGUACCAAGAGGGAGUUAUAAAACACGACAUUAAUGCGAGCUUUCCAAAUCUCCCAUAAAAGGAAACCCAGAGAUGAGAAAGCAUGAGCCACUUGGUCCUUAUCCUGGCCAAAUUGAGAGAUCAUAUGAGAGAGCCAAGAUCGCAUAGACAAUUCUGGAUUAGUGCUAGGGUUGAUUUGCAAAAAGGAACCAAACCACACUGGUCUAGUCCAAUUGCACUACAAGAGAGCGUGGGCUGCCGAUUCAUCUUUGCUAUGGCAAAUGGGACAGAUUGGGUCCCUUGUGAUAUGUCUUUGAACAAUGUUACUCCUAACGACGAUCGCAUUGUUGAAAACUGACCAGAAAAAAUGUUUAAUUUUAUGGGGAAGAGAGGCACCCCAAAUAUGCUUCCACAACAGGUUGUGCGAAUCCAUCCUAGAUGAGAGGCCAUCAUACGAGGAUGAGAGCUCUUAAUAGCUACAAAGUAGCUACACUCCUUGCUUGUUGAAAGACCAGAUUAGGGAGUCCUUUUGUUGUGUCCAACUAAUGGGGGUAUUAAGGACUUCGUAGACUCUAUGGUUAGGAAUGAUCUGCCAAAUUUUCUCAGUGUCCCACUUUCUGUCCUCAGGCUUCAUUAACUCUUCAACCAACAUUUCCUGAUGAGAUUGGCCAGCCCCUAGAAUGACACCCGAGCUGGUCCAUUUGUGUUUCCAGAUGUCAACGCUUUUUCCAUCCCCUAUAAGUCAGAGCCCAUGUUUAAGGAGGAAGUCUCUACCAUGGAGUAGGCUUCCCCACCCCCCACGAAGAUGCUCUUCUCCUAUUUAUCCUUAGGAAAGAGUCAUUAGGAAAAUACAGUGCCUUUAAGGAUUUAACCCAUAUCGAAUUUGGAUUUUCCAAGUCUCUCCAAGCUUAUUUUGCUAACAGGGCCGUGUUCAUGAGUUCAAAGUCCCUGAAACUCAUACCACCAAUCGACUUUGCAUUGAAAAGCACUUAUCUACCUAUUUUUGCCUUCUCUUUGGGCUUCAUCCAAUUUUGUCUUCUAAUAUUUGUAGUCCAUUUGUUUCUGUUUUUUUUUUUCGUUCAAAAAACAGGUGAUUGAAUUAUAUAAGUGAGAAGAUAUUAUUAAAUGUAACUUUCAUUCCCAUGAGAAUAGAAGAUACCUAUCACAAUCCUCUUUUUCAAUGUCCCGCAUUUUUAUAUUUUGCAAUCUUAAAUGUGGUGCGUAACUAACUUUUUAUUACAUAUUGCAAACUUAAAUGUAGAAUAUUUGAAUUGUGAGAGUGAGUGUGGCGAUAACAUGAAUAAAUUUCUCUGAUGCCAGAAAGUUGGACAUGAAGUCAUGAACUAUUCAGUCACACCAAAUCAUUCCUACACAAGUCUUUUUUUGGUAUAACGGAAAGAUAAAUUACACCAUCCAGGGAUUGAUCCCUGAAUAUUCCUACACAAGUCUUGAAGUACUGUAAUCGUGAAAAAGGUUAAUGAAUGACAUCUAUCUAUCUAUACUAUAUAUAAAAGCAGAGUUUCUGCAGUCUUGAGGGCAAGCUGGUCAUUCAAUAAUCUAUUGCACUACAACCUAAUUUUCAGCAUGGGUAUUUUAGUAAAAAUCCACAUAAUUUUUCAAAGAUUCAGUCCUAGCCGUUGAUAACUUUGUGGUAACUCUUCAGCUUCAGGAGAAAAGUCAGUUUCAUAGUAAUCUCAUUGUCUUUUGGCAUUCCAAAAUGAAUUCACUAAGCUCAAUUUUUUAGAACCUUUGAAGAGGCCUUCAAUCUUCUUCAGUUUUUUAGACCUUCAAUCUUCUUUAAACCUUAAACUACGAGUAUAAAUACCCCUUUGCUCCAUACUAUUUUUUGUGGUUUUCUUACCUUUAUUUUGCUUCUUAUUUGGUUUAAAUUAGAUCAAUCAUUGACCCUUCAAGCUUGAUCAAGCUUCCAAAUGGUGAAUGUUCUUCCAUGUUCCAAUUGUGCGAGUGGAGAAGAGGACAAAUGAGUGUGUUAUGAGGAAACAAGCAAAGCGAGACAAUUGUGUAAAGAAAUAAUUAAUAAGUUUGUAUUUUUUCCUUUAAAAUGUAGUUUUCCUUAAACAUUCAUGCUUGAAUUUACAAAUUGCUAUUUUGUUGGGAAAUGACUCAACUUACACCUUUUUUGGCAUUUUGUUGGACGAGGACUCUACUUGCACCAUUUUUUGCAUGGGUUUGAAACACAAAAAUAAGAAUUUGUGUUUGCAAUUUGGUUUAAAUAACCAAGAUGAAGGAUUCUUGCUUCCAUAGUUGAACAACUUGGAAGGCAAACUUUAUUGACUAGGAAAAUGCACCCUUGAAGGAUAGUUGUUGCAACAAUAAUGAUACGUGUGAUGAGGAUGAUCAAGCUUCCAAAUCAUGAUUGUUAUCUUUACCUGAUGUUGUAUCUAUUCCGGCUUUACUCUUCUUAUACUUUUUUUAUCCUUAAAAAUUAAUAUCAUUUUGUCCCAUCCAUAUAUUCUUCUAUACUUGACAAGAGUUUGAGUUAAAUAUUUCAAAUGAUUUGUUCUAUCGGUACCAGAAAAGAAGGAGGGAUAUCCAACUUUAAUAGAG